AUGAGUCCGUUAUCUCUGACCUCCCGAAUCUCUGCUGCUGGGGCUAAAGCAUUAAUUAGCGAUAUAGGAAGAAACGCAGACGGACAGAAAGCUGUAGGCCAGGCGGGCGGGCGGGCCGGGCUCCGGGUCGGGCUCCGCACGGAGCCGGGCACCUGCUCGCCGCAGGCCCCGUUCCCCCCGCCGUGUCGGUGGCGGCGCCGCGGGGCGCCAGCUCCUUUGUUACCGCGGUGCGGGGGCAGAGGCCGGAGGCGGGGCCGCAGCGCUCGGGCCGGGGCGCGGCCGGCGGAGGAAAGCGGCGGCCGAGGAUGGGGCCGGGGCCGCGGCCAGGUCCGGGGCUGGGGUGGGGACCAGAACUGCGGCCCAGGCUCGGGCGCGUCGGGCACUCACCCAGGUGAGGAGGCUCUCGCCGAGCUCGGCCCGCUCCAGGCUCUCCACGUUGAACAUGUCGGGGCGCUGCCCGGCGGGGUGCUGCCGGCGCUCGCUCCCUGCCGCCCCUCGUCCCCCGCUGUCCCGUCCCGGCCGGGCCGCGGCGCGGACACGUCAGAGCGUCCCGGCGGCACCGCCCGCCCGCGCCUGCGCCCUGCGCCCGCCUCCCCUCGCUGCGCCGCGACGCUGCUGCCGGGGGGCGGGGCGGCGGCCGGCAGGCAGCGCGACGCUCCCGGAGCUGAGGGAAACAUCACACAGAGGCUGCUGACCUCCAGCCCUGCAGAGAGCUGCUCUGUCAGGCGAGCAUGUUGUGGAAGUCCAAAAAUAAAAGAACAAUGAAAGGAAUCUACCCUUCGUUCUCCAUGUUUUCUCUGCUCUUAUGGUACUUAAUUAUACCACUUACCCCUUUUAUAGUAAUGUUAGAAUGUACUAGUUUCUCUUGCUUUACUGCUGCAGAGGUGGUUCCCACAAACGUAACAAAGCUUGGCGAAAGCUCCACGGCUCGUACAGGAAUAUAUCUGGAGAGCAAAAGCAGUCAUCCUAUGGAAAAGAUGACAUUUUAUGUUAGCUGUAGACUGG
rnacentral:lncRNA from 1 species